CCUUUUUUAAUUAAUAAGUAUGCCAAAAUUGAAUACGCUAGAGACUGUUCCAUUAUCUACACAUAGUUUCCUCUGUUGUUAAUUUAACUAAAACCCAAUGCUUAAGCUACAGGGCAAAAUUAAGCACUUAACAGUUAGACCCUUUGACUUGUCAUUUUUCCUCUGAAUCAAAUGCAGAAACCCUCAAUUCAGGCACGGAUAUGUUCGACUCAAUUCAGGACAAAAUGCAAAACAUAUCAAGAAAGUUUUUUUAUGGAUCAAAGAAUUGACCUUUGUUGAUCAGAAUAAGGAAUAGUACGGAGAAGAGAGAUCUCUUGGCGUCUCUGCUCUCUUCUCUCUUGCGCCCUCUCCUUUUUACCCAUUAUUUCUUCGAUUAUUAGGGUUCAAAGCUCAAGCUAUUCUGCACUUUGGUUCACCCACUACUCAUUUCCAGAUUUUGUUUUGGUUUCAGAGUUUUAGAGCAAACCCUCGUAUUCAUAUGGUGAAUAGUAAUAGCAUUUGAAGUAAGAAAUUAAAUUAAAUUCUUUCAAAUUAGC
rnacentral:lncRNA from 1 species